UUAAAUUAAUUCAUACUAAUAUAAAGUUCAAAAAAAUGGUGCAAGCCUUAUAUAAUGAUUUAAGUAUUCAUACCCCUUUUAGUCAUUACACACUCAAAAGCAAUUCUAAUCAAAGAUAUCCAAACAAAAUUUUCUUACUAAAAUCACGUUCUUGUAACUGUAUCCAAACAUAAAUCACGUCACUCAAACUCACGUUUACCGGAUCCAAUUCUGCCAGAUCCACUUCUGACCAGAUCCAAUUCUGCUAACGCUCAUCCAAACAC
rnacentral:lncRNA from 1 species